GCGCAGCAGUCGAGAAACUUUACAAUGUGCGAAAGCACGAUAAGGGAACUCUGAGUGCCUCCUAAGGAGGCUGUUCUGAUGUCUAAAAGCAACAGAAGUAAGGGCUGGGUAAGACCGGUGCCAGCCGCCGCGGUAACACCGGCAGCCCAAGUGGUAGCCACGUUUAUUGGGUCUAAAGCGUUCGUAGCCGGCCAGGUAAGUUCCUUGGUAAAUUUAGCCGCUUAACGGUUAAGCUUUCAGGGAAUACUGCUUGGCUUGGGACUGGGGAGAGGUCAGAGGUACUCCGGGGGUAGGGGUGAAAUCUAUUAAUCCCUGGGGGACCACCGGUAGCGAAGGCGUCUGACCAGACCAGGUCCGACGGUGAGGGACGAAGGCUAGGGGCGCGAACCGGAUUAGAUACCCGCAUAGU
rnacentral:rRNA from 1 species